CAAGGCCGGAAAAACAACGGGCAGCCAAGCAGCCGGACACGGUCUCAUUGAUGGCCGUAACGCGAUGAUUUACUCGAUGAAAGUGACGAUUACGCCGAUGACACGAUGGACAACUGGAAAGCUGAACUGAUUUUCCAAUUCACACGUAUCUCGGGCGAUCGCCUACCAGCGAAGCGAUCGCGAACACGAGCUGUUCGUAGAACGGUGUAGACAUUGUUUGCUAACUCGACACUAAGAACGCUUUCGUCGAACAUAUGAUUAAUUAAAUAAUUCCAUCUGAAAGUAGUUUAUAGUGUGCUUAAAAUCUAUUUGGCGGGUCCAAGAUGAAUGAUGUCAGUCACAAAUCGUUGCCGCAUCUCGCAGUGCCCACUGAAUCAUGACGUUCGAGAUGUACACCAACACGGGAGACAUACUCUGAGAUGAAUAACUAUACGUUGACAAGUUUGUCGACGAGAUUGCUGGCCAUCCCUUAGCGCGCUACGGUUUAACCUUGUACAGCAGCUCUGUAUUGAAAAUGAACAUAAGUGCUGGUUUCAGACAAGAGCGACGAAUACAUAUAGGAGGCACAUGGUACAAAUUGACAGAUACCAUGGAUUUACCAUCAGUGUCUAUUUUUUCUGGGCCAAUCACCCUCGAUAUGACCAACGUUCGAAUCCUCGCAUAGACAUACGAUGCUGAGAUCAAGUGGUUUGAUGGAAUAUCUAACGGCGGUGCCGGACGCAAAACUCGAAACAGGGAGCAUACCAACUUCACCGUGCCCCAUUAUAUGUUGCAGCUAUAAAGCGAGGUCGAACUAUCUAGCAUAACAUUUAUCGCGUGGAACAUACUGUCGAACCCGCAAUAAAUGUAAAAAAUUACUCGCGUCAAAGCUACACGGACAUCUGAAUCGAGUAAGGUCGAAGGUCUGCUACGACGCCACCAAUGGAAUGGUCUAACGUGUAUGAGUCAUAAACAAGUCCGUGAGAGCGUGUAUAAACAAGUCCGGAUAAGCAGCUUCGUCAAGAAUAUAGCAACGACAAAUGAGAAGUUCGGUGAAAUAAAGUAGCGACAGCAAAAGUGGUAGCGGUUGACAGAAGGAGAAGGGAUCUUGGAUAGGGAGAAGGAUCGGUAUUUCCGGUUAGAGGAGCACGCGGAGAGAUCUGUCUUGGUUGAACGUGUCUCAUCUUCGUCUCCGGGUGCAUGUCCGGCAAUCUCGACUUCUUCUUGGUCUCAAUGCGAGCGGCUGCCAUCAUAGCCAAACUACUUAUGUCGUCCGUAUUUAGCCCUCACAUUCUCCUGAUACUAAGAGCGUCACAGCGCGGAACGGUGACGUUCAGACCCCCGGUCCCACGUACCGCCUUUUUACUAGUGACCGAUUCAGGCUGUGUACAUUACAACAAUAGGCCGGAACCAAGCGACUGAGAAGAAGAGGCGAGCACUGAUUUGAAGAAG